rnacentral:tRNA from 1 species
GAGGGUAUAGCUCAAGCGGUAGAGCGCAUGCUUAGCACGCACGAGGUCCUGGGUUCAAUCCCCGAUACUUCCU